UUGAACUCUGACAUUCGACAAUCGGUCAGUCAUCAGGCAUCACGUAGGCAAAUCUGCACGCUGCGUGAAGCAAAGGUUGAAUAAGCGUAAGCCAAAUACCAGAACAACACGCGGUUGGCGUCGAGCUUUCAGGCAUACAGCCACCGCCUAACGUUAAAAGAAACUCGCGUGUUGCUUUGAUAACAAGCAAAUACAGUGAGAGACAUAAUUCAGGUAAAAUACUAUGGCGGGUAGGUUUGUCAUGCAUUAGCAGCGCAUGGCUUCGGCUGUUGUAUCGCGUCAAGAAUUUUUGAAUCAUAGCCUAUGCCCUUGUGCACAAACCCAUGUGUUGCGCUUUGUCGCUUUCUUCUCUUUAGCUUAGAUAAGACAGUAUACAACUUCGACGUUUCCACUGAUUAAUUUGUCGGAAGGUUGUGCUGUAUUUGUGUGCUUCGCAUGCGUUCGCCUGUUCUCUUUCUUUUUUUUUAUACCACCGAGAGCGUUUCUGGCGUUAUGUCAAGCUCGCUCUCGCGCAGUGUGAAGAGCGCUAUUGGCCGUAUAUUUUAUUAAGUCCGGGGCCGAGUCUCGCGAUAUCUCGCGAACGUGAAAUCAUCUCCGUUAGUGAUCGCCCCAGAUGCCCGACUACUUUUGCAAAACGAUGGCAACAGAAAGAUAAAGCCAUGUUGACAAUAACGGGCACAAGCGAGGCUGGUUGUCCGUGUUCAUUUAAUAUAUUGCACCUGACACAAUCCUACGCGAGGGAAACGCCAAUACAAGCGUCGAUGUAUUUCUCUUCCGCACAAAAAGCGACGGAUGUCGUAACGAGUUGUACGUCUUGGAGUGUUCAAGACAGUUGAUAAAUUGCAAUUUGCGAUAGAUCAUGGCGGCCUUUGACAGUGUUCUGAAUAGAAUUAUAAAGGCUUCGUGUCUCCGGCUCUGUCGCUGUGCUUCUGACAUAUGCGUGCGGUGUUUUUUUUUUUUUCUGUUUCGUGAACGAACGGUACGAGAUCGACCAGAUGGUGUCGGGAACCCAUCUGUGAAGCAAAGGCGGUGCUGGGCUUUUGAGGAUCAGGAUCUGCGUGGGAAGAAGUACAGUGCCUGACUAUACUAGCCGUACCAGCAAGCGUCUCGGUGUCUUGGUCCUAACCUGCGGUCCUGGUGGCCAGAUGUUCUUGCGUACCUGUAUUUUGCUGCCGGCCCUGUGGAGCUCGUGGCCAGUUCAAGUCCGGCCCUGUCGACCAGGUGGUCACCACAAGGGGCCUGGUGUCUUGCUACGCACCCUGCAGAACUGUGGUUCUAGAGGUGACUUGCCCUGCCUGCGGUCCUGGUGGCCAGAUGUUCUUGCGUACCUGUAUUUUGCUGCCGGCCCUGUGGAGGUCGUGGCCAGAUAAAGUCCGGCUCUGUCAACCUGGUGGCCACCACAAGGUGCUUGGUGCCUUCCUACGCACGCUGCAGACCUGGUGAGUACCUGUUCUCCAGAGACCUGGUGUAUUGCUAUCCCUGCUGUGGACAUUGUGGCCAGCUCUUAAAGUAUUCUGGCGUCUUGCUUCCCACACUGGGGACCUGGUGGUCAGCGGUUCUAGAGGUGACUUGCCCUCCUGCGGUCCUGGUGGCCAGAUGUUCUUGCGUACCUGUAUUUGCUGCCGGCCCUGUGGAGGUCGUGGCCAGAUAAAGUCCGGCUCUGUCAACCUGGUGGCCACCACAAGGUGCUUGGUGCCUUCCUACGCACGCUGCAGACCUGCGGUUCUAGAGGUGACUUGCCCUGCCUGCGGUCCUGGUGGCCAGAUGUUCUUGCGUACCUGUAUUUUGCUGCCGGCCCUGUGGAGGUCGUGGCCAGAUAAAGUUCGGCUUUGUCAACCUGGUGGCCACCACAAGGUGCUUGGUGCCUUCCUACGCACGCUGCAGACCUGCGGUUCUAGAGGUGACUUGCCCUGCCUGCGGUCCUGGUGGCCAGAUGUUCUUGCGUACCUGUAUUUGCUGCCGGCCCUGUGGAGGUCGUGGCCAGAUAAAGUCCGGCUCUGUCAACCUGGUGGCCACCACAAGGUGCUUGGUGCCUUCCUACGCACGCUGCAGACCUGUAUUCUGGCGUCUUGCUUCCCGCACUGGGGACCUGGUGGUCAGCGGUUCUAGAGGUGACUUGCCCUGCCUGCGGUCCUGGUGGCCAGAUGUUCUUGCGUACCUGUAUUUUGCUGCGGGCCCUGUGGAGGUCGUGGCCAGAUAAAGUCCGGCUCUGUCAACCUGGUGGCCACCACAAGGGGCUUGGUGCCUUCCUACGCACGCUGCAGACCUGGUGAGUACCUGUUCUCCAGAGACCUGGUGUAUUGCUAUCCCUGCUGUGGACAUUGUGGCCAGCUCUUAAAGUAUUCUGGCGUCUUGCUUCCCACACUGGGGACCUGGUGGUCAGCGGUUCUAAGGGUGACUUGCCCGCCCUGUGGUCCUGGUGGCCAGAUGUUCUUGCGUACCUGUAUUGCCGGUCCUGUGGAGCUCGUGGCCAGGUAAAGUCCGGCCCUGUCAACCUGGUGUUCACCACGUGGGGUGUGGUGUCUUGCAACGCACCCUGCAAACCUGGUGAUCACCUGUCCUCGUGCGCCCUGGUGUAUUGUUAUCCGAGCAGCAGAUGAGGCGAUGCUGGCCUUUCGUGCAUCGUAACCGCGACCAGCGUGGGUGGCAGCAUGGUGACCGACUAUUGUAGCCAGACUAGCAAGACCUCUUGGCCAGCUGUUCUAUAGGCCUGGUGACUUGCCCACCCUGAGGACCUGGUGGCCAGCUGUUCUAGCGACCAAGUAUCGUUUUGUCCGCUCGGCGCACCCCGUGGCAAGAUCUUCUAGCGGCCAGAUGUCCUGCGGCCCAACCUGCGGAUCUUGUGGCUAGCUGUUAUAGCGACCAGUUCUGGCGAACUGGUGUCUUGCCGCUUGCCCGGACCUGGUGGCCAGCUGCUCAACCGACUUUGUAUGCUGCUGAAGAGAAGAUUGGCUGGGCGGUGUAGAAUCACAGGAGGCGAAAUUCUUUUUCUAUCACAAUUUCUUUGUAAAAACGGAUAGUUGGAUCUGCUUGUCCAACGAGACAGGCUAUUCGUUCUGCAACUGAAAAUUACUAGGUCCACCUGGCUCCUGGAGCAGCGAAGCGAACAGCAUCCGCAGGCGCACGCUCAUGUCGGGCCACAGGUGCCAGUUGUGAGCAACGUAGGCGACACACUGCCCCAGCCUUGCCGGUGGCAAGAAGGCUCCGUGUUGUCUCCGUGCAGCCGGAUACUCCACUGUGAAAAUCGGUUGGCCAAGAUGUCCAGCAGGAUACUGAGCAGCGUGCUCACCGGAAGUGGCAAAGAUGGCGACGAUCUCCCCACCAUGGACUUCGAACGAGAAAUCCAUCGAUCGGAAGC